GACGAACGCUGGCGGCGUGCUUAACACAUGCAAGUCGAACGGUAAGGCCCUUCGGGGUACACGAGUGGCGAACGGGUGAGUAACACGUGGGUGAUCUGCCCUGCACUUCGGGAUAAGCCUGGGAAACUGGGUCUAAUACCGGAUAGGACCACUGCCUGCAUGGGUGGUGGUGGAAAGCUUUUGCGGUGUGGGAUGAGUCCGCGUACGAUUAGCUAGUUGGUGGGGUAAUGGCCCACCAAGGCGACGAUCGUUAGCUGGUCUGAGAGGACGAUCAGCCACACUGGGACUGAGACACGGCCCAGACUCCUACGGGAGGCAGCAGUGGGGAAUAUUGGACAAUGGGGGCAACCCUGAUCCAGCCAUGCCGCGUGAGUGAUGAAGGCCUUCGGGUUGUAAAGCUCUUUUGGCGGGGACGAUGAUGACGGUACCCGCAGAAUAAGCCCCGGCUAACUUCGUGCCAGCCGCCGCAGUAA
rnacentral:rRNA from 1 species